rnacentral:rRNA from 1 species
CCUACGGGAGGCAGCAGUGGGGAAUAUUGGACAAUGGGCGAAAGCCUGAUCCAGCAAUGCCGCGUGAGUCAUGAAGGCCUUCGGGUCGUAAAGCUCUUUUACCAGGGAUGAUAAUGACAGUACCUGGAGAAUAAGCUCCGGCUAACUCCGUGCCAGCAGCCGCGGUAAUACGGAGGGAGCUAGCGUUGUUCGGAAUUACUGGGCGUAAAGAGUACGUAGGCGGUUAUUCAAGUCAGAGGUGAAAGCCCGGGGCUCAACCCCGGGAACUGCCUUUGAAACUAGAUAACUAGAGUCUUGGAGAGGUUAGUGGAAUUCCGAGUGUAGAGGUGAAAUUCGUAGAUAUUCGGAAGAACACCAGUGGCGAAGGCGACUAACUGGACAAGUACUGACGCUGAGGUACGAAAGCGUGGGGAGCAAACAGGAUUAGAUACCCUGGUAGUCCACGCCGUAAACGAUGAUAACUAGUUGUUCGGUCACUUGGUGACUGAGUGACGCAGCUACGCAUAAGUUAUCCGUCCGUCGGGUAGGUACGGUCGCGAGAUAAACUACAAUAGAAUAGACGGCGUGAGACGNGCCGACGGACGACGACGAGGGAGUAGG